rnacentral:rRNA from 1 species
ACGAACGCUGGCGGCAGGCCUAACACAUGCAAGUCGAGCGCCCCGCAAGGGGAGCGGCGGACGGGUGAGUAACGCGUGGGAAUAUGCCCUUUGCUACGGAAUAGUCUCGGGAAACUGGGGGUAAUACCGUAUACGCCCUUUGGGGGAAAGAUUUAUCGGCGAAGGAUUAGCCCGCGUUGGAUUAGGUAGUUGGUGGGGUAAUGGCCUACCAAGCCGACGAUCCAUAGCUGGUUUGAGAGGAUGAUCAGCCACACUGGGACUGAGACACGGCCCAGACUCCUACGGGAGGCAGCAGUGGGGAAUCUUAGACAAUGGGGGCAACCCUGAUCGAGCCAUGCCGCGUGAGUGAUGAAGGCCUUAGGGUUGUAAAGCUCUUUCAGCUGGGAAGAUAAUGACGGUACCAGCAGAAGAAGCCCCGGCUAACUCCGUG